CCUACGGGGGGCAGCAGUCGAGAAUCAUUCACAAUGGGGGAAACCCUGAUGGUGCGACGCCGCGUGGGGGAAUGAAGGUCUUCGGAUUGUAAACCCCUGUCAUGUGGGAGCAAAUUAAAAAGAUAGUACCACAAGAGGAAGAGACGGCUAACUCUGUGCCAGCAGCCGCGGUAAUACAGAGGUCUCAAGCGUUGUUCGGAAUCACUGGGCGUAAGGCGUGCGUAGGCUGUUUAGUAAGUCGUGUGUGAAAGGCGCGGGCUCAACCCGCGGACGGCACAUGAUACUGCGAGACUAGAGUAAUGGAGGGGGAACCGGAAUUCUCGGUGUAGCAGUGAAAUGCGUAGAUAUCGAGAGGAACACUCGUGGCGAAGGCGGGUUCCUGGACAUUAACUGACGCUGAGGCACGAAGGCCAGGGGAGCGAAAGGGAUUAGAUACCCGGGUAGGC
rnacentral:rRNA from 1 species